rnacentral:rRNA from 1 species
UGGGGAAUAUUGCACAAUGGGCGAAAGCCUGAUGCAGCAACGCCGCGUGAGGGAAGACGGUUUUUCGGAUUGUAAACCUCUGUUUUCGGUGACGAACAAAUGACGGUAACCGAGUAGGAAGCCACGGCUAACUACGUGCCAGCAGCCGCGGUAAUACGUAGGUGGCAAGCGUUAUCCGGAAUUACUGGGUGUAAAGGGAGCGCAGGCGGGAUAGCAAGUCAGCUGUGAAAAACUAUGGGCUCAACCCAUAAACUGCAGUUGAAACUGUUAUUCUUGAGUGGAGUAGGACGACAA